rnacentral:tRNA from 1 species
GGUGAGAUCCGCCUGCUGGCAAGGGCAGCGGUUUGCUAAACCGUCGAUCGGCCCCGGCCGGUCCGCGAGUUCGAAUCUCGCUCUCACCG